ACCUGACCGGUCACAUGCUGGGCACUACCAAAGAUAAUGUAUUCCAAAGAAACCAACGAAUGGAUAAUCCUUGCAAAUGAUUGGGAGACUCCUUCAGGGCGGCAAUAAUCCAGACAAUCUGUUGCUUGCUGGGUUCAGCCCUAUCAGACGCACAUUCACUUAUGCUGCCCACAUAUCUAUGCUUGGCCCUGGGGGGUAGCCCUGGGGGGUAAUAGUGGUGGUUGCACCGACGAGAACACAAGCUGUGAGAGGUGGGUCGCUCUCGGAGAGUGCACGAAAAACCCAGAGUAUAUGGUGGGAUCUGCAGAGGUUCUUGGUGCCUGUAGGAGGAGUUGCAAGGUGUGUUAGCUGACUGUUUUGGUCAUGUUAGCAGUUGUCGUAAUCUCACUGGGGUUGCUACUGGUGGUGAUCUCUUCUAUGGGUACGCUUUUUGGAAGAUGGGUCUGUGAAUUACAUAGUUGGAGCGAAGCAACCUGACUAUCUAGUUAUUACUGAUGAUGUUGAUUCAUACCUUGCCAUUGAAGUACAGCCCCUUGAGGACUGGAACAGGAAGUGAGGCAAAUGCAUUUUAGUGGCUGACCACAAGGGUAUUUUGAUGCAAACAUCAAUUGGGCCCCCAGUACCACCACUCCUAGAAGAAUAAGUCAUGUAUCCUUGCCAUUUUGUUUUGUUUUGCAGGUCCAGUGGAGCUUACUGCAUGUAAGAUGAUGAGAACUGAAGAACGAGGAAAUGAAAAUCUGGAAGAGGCUUUACCUUUAAGCAAUGAAAUGAAAAAUUUGCCUUCACAUCUUGGUAUGCCAACAUCCAUACAGCCUUGUUCUUAAUAAGAAGAAAUGGUUGGUCAGAUAAAGUGAUGAAAUUAGAAAGUGUCUGAAUUUUCUUUUGAUCUCUUUCAUAUUGAUUUUUUCAUGUUUACAUUCAUUUGGAGUUUCUUAGUUCAAUUCAACCACCUGGAAAAUCAACAUGCUUUCUUUCAUCAUUGCUCUAUCAGAUUCUGGCAAGGAUGAGUACCACCCAUUCAUUGCUUUUGAAAAUCAAAAUAUGGCAGAAAGCAGGUUUUUUUUUUUU